rnacentral:tRNA from 1 species
AAUUUAUAUAGUUUAAAAAGAACGGUAGACUUUCUAUCUACAAGCCCCUUAUUUAGGGUAUAAAUUA